rnacentral:rRNA from 1 species
UACGUAGGGUGCGAGCGUUAAUCGGAAUUACUGGGCGUAAAGCGUGCGCAGGCGGUUUUGUAAGACAGAUGUGAAAUCCCCGGGCUUAACCUGGGAAUGGCAUUUGGGACUGCAAAGCUUGAGUGUGGCAGAGGGGACUGGAAUUCCUGGUGUAGCAGUGAAAUGCGUAGAGAUCAGGAGGAAUACCGAUGGCGAAGGCAGGUCCCUGGGCUGACACUGACGCUCAUGCACGAAAGCGUGGGGAGCAAACAGG